UACGUAGGGUGCGAGCGUUAAUCGGAAUUACUGGGCGUAAAGCGUGCGCAGGCGGUUCGUUAAGUCAGGUGUGAAAGCCCCGGGCUUAACCUGGGAACUGCAGUCGAUACUGGUGGACUAGAGUACGGUAGAGGGUGGCGGAACUCCGGGUGUAGCGGUGAAAUGCGUAGAUAUCCGGAAGAACACCGAUGGCGAAGGCAACCACCUGGGCCUGUACUGACGCUGAGGUACGAAAGCGUGGGGAGCAAACAGG
rnacentral:rRNA from 1 species